CCUACGGGAGGCAGCAGUGAGGAAUAUUGGUCAAUGGGCGUAAGCCUGAACCAGCCAAGUCGCGUGAGGGAUGAAUGUUCUAUGGAUCGUAAACUUCUUUUAUAAGGGAAUAAAGCGUGGGACGUGUCCCGUUUUGCAUGUACCUUAUGAAUAAGGAUCGGCUAACUCCGUGCCAGCAGCCGCGGUAAUACGUAUGGUGCAAGCGUUAUCCGGAUUUACUGGGUGUAAAGGGAGCGCAGGCGGGACGGCAAGCCCGAUGUGAAAGCGCGCGGCCCAACCGCGGGAGUGCAAUGGAAACUAGCGGGCUGGAGUGCCGGCGAGGUAGGCGGAAUUCCUGGGGUAGCGGUGAAAUGCGUAGAUAUUAGGAAGAACACCGAUGGCGAAGGCGGCCUACUGAACGGUGACUGACGCUGAGGCUCGAAAGCGUGGGGAGCAAACAGGAUUAGAUACCCGGGUAGUC
rnacentral:rRNA from 1 species